rnacentral:rRNA from 1 species
UACGGGGGGGGCAAGCGUUGUUCGGAAUUACUGGGCGUAAAGGGCGUGUAGGUGGCCAACUAAGUCCGACGUGAAAUCCCCAGGCUUAACCUGGGAACUGCGUCGGAUACUGGAUGGCUUGAAUUCGGGAGAGGGAUGCAGAAUUCCAGGUGUAGCGGUGAAAUGCGUAGAUAUCUGGAGGAACACCGGUGGUGUAAACGGCUUUCUGGACCGUAACUGACGCUGAGACACGAAAGCGUGGGUAGCAAACAGG